AGGACGAACGCUGGCGGCGUGCUUAACACAUGCAAGUGGAGCGACGAACCAGGCUUCGGCCUGGGGCAGAGCCGCGAACGGGUGAGUAACACGUGGGUAACCUGCCUCGAUGACCGGGACAACCCGGGGAAACCCGGGCUAAUACCGGAUGUGCUCCUUCACAUCAGUGAAGACAGGAAAGGAAGCUUCGGCCUCCGCAUCGAGAUAGGCCCGCGGCCCAUUAGCUUGUUGGUGAGGUAACGGCUCACCAAGGCUGCGAUGGGUAGCUGGUCUGAGAGGGUGACCGGCCACACUGGGACUGAGACACGGCCCAGACUCCUACGGGAGGCAGCAGUGGGGAAUAUUGGACAAUGGGCGAAAGCCUGAUCCAGCAACGCCGCGUGAGGGAUGACGGCCUUCGGGUUGUAAACCUCUUUCUAGCGCAGACGAAGCGAAAGUGACGGUAUGCGCAGAAGAAGCACCGGCCAACUACGUGCCAGCAGCCGC
rnacentral:rRNA from 1 species